CCUACGGGAGGCUGCAGUGGGGAAUAUUGCGCAAUGGGGGGAACCCUGACGCAGCAACGCCGCGUGAGCGAAGAAGGCCUUCGGGUCGUAAAGCUCUGUCAUAGGGGAAGAGGAGAAGACGGUACCCUAUGAGGAAGCCCCGGCUAACUACGUGCCAGCAGCCGCGGUAAUACGUAGGGGGCGAGCGUUGUCCGGAAUUACUGGGCGUAAAGGGUGCGUAGGCGGCCUGAUAAGUCAGAUGUGAAAUACCAGGGCUCAACCCUGGGGGUGCAUUUGAAACUGUCGGGCUUGAGUGCAGGAGAGGAAAGCGGAAUUCCUGGUGUAGCGGUGAAAUGCGUAGAUAUCAGGAGGAACACCAGUGGCGAAGGCGGCUUUCUGGACUGUAACUGACGCUGAGGCACGAAAGCGUGGGGAGCGAACAGGAUUAGAUACCCCUGUAGUC
rnacentral:rRNA from 1 species